GUGCUCCCUUCGGCAGCACAUAUACUAAAAUUGGAACAAUACAUUGAUUAGCCUGGCCCCUGUGCAAUAAAAAAUAUAUAUAUCUAGAUACAGAUACAGAUACAUUU
rfam:Pongo abelii chromosome 16.